UGAUUCGGUUAUUGUCGCACCAGGAACUUCAAGCAACUUCACACAAAACCCAACAGCUUUUGCCUUUUACUUUUAGUGGGUGGUUCAAAACACACGGUUCUUCCCUUCGCCACGCCGCCUCCGCCACCCUUCGAUUCGCUUCAUUCCUCCAUUUUUAUAGUAUCUUCAAGCUCCAUCGGCACCACAUACUCAUGCUAUACCGAUCGUAUGAGCUACAAUUGGCUUAAUUUUCUUCAAUUUGCAGAUUUUAGUUUUAACCACCGAACGCGUAACUGUUGGUGCUAUGGUAGAGCUUGAUUUUGCCAAAAUCGACGUCUGAUUUCCCAGAAAAACAACGAAGAUGGGUUCUGGUGAUAGAAUUCCUCAUUGGAGUGUCUUUGAUAAUGUGAAGAUGAUACCUUCAAAGCCCGAAUCUCUAAUGGCAACAAUCAAUUCGGGUAUUUCUUCUCUAGAGUAUGCCAAGGCUACGAAGCUUUUGAAUUCUUCAGUUCCUUUUUCGAAGGAUAAGAAGAGAAUUGAUGAUGAAAACCCUAAUUCCUCUUCUGUAUAUGAUGUCCGAAGAGCAGAUGAAGCUUAUAAAGAAGGACUCGCAUAUUUGGCUGCAGGUGAUCUUGAGGAGGCUUUUCAAUCCUUGAACUUGGCUCUUUCAAACUGCCCACCCACUAAGCCUGCGGUGGUUGCUAAGCUUCAGUCUCUUAUUUCUCUCACAGCUCAACGCCUUCAAAAUUCUCCCUCCUGAUUUUCAUUUGCUUUCUUGUAGUUUUAGUGAAAAUUUUUACUCAAGUUGCAUAUAUGUUAUGUUCUCAAAUUCUCAAAUAUAUUCAAUCUCCAGUUUUUCCCAUUA